GUGUCAGCAGCCGCGGUAAUACGAAGGGGGCUAGCGUUGUUCGGAAUCACUGGGCGUAAAGGGCGCGUAGGCGGCUUUAUAAGUCGGGGGUGAAAGCCUGUGGCUCAACCACAGAAUUGCCUUCGAUACUGUAGAGCUUGAGACCGGAAGAGGUAAGUAGAACUGCGAGUGUAGAGGUGAAAUUCGUAGAUAUUCGCAAGAACACCCGUGGCGAAGGCGGCUCUCUGGGACGGUACUGACGCUGAGACGCGAAAGCGUGGGGAGCGAACAGGAUUAGAUACCCUGGUAGUCCACGCCGUAAACGAUGAGUGCUAGACGUCGGGGGGUUCACCCUCCGGUGUCGCAGCUAACGCUUUAAGCACUCCGCCUGGGGAGUACGGCCGCAAGGCUAAAACUCAAAGGAAUUGACGG
rnacentral:rRNA from 1 species